ACAGCAGCACAUGAAUUUCCAUUUUUACGACUGAUUAUGAGGAGAGAGAUUACGAUAUUCGAUUAUUGAACUGCGAUUUCUUCGUUCGUCUCGCUAUCUUCGUAAUUAAGACGUUCAGUUGCUACUAGUAAGGGUUUUGUGGUUGCUGAUUGAUUGGCCUCUUUGUUUGAAUUGUUUUUCUUGGUGAAUUGAUUGAUAAGUUUUGUUCUGAGGUUCAAGUUAGGAGUUGCAUUUGAAGAUUAUAAA